rnacentral:rRNA from 1 species
CAGUUCGGAUCGCAGGCUGCAACUCGCCUGCGUGAAGUUGGAAUUGCUGUAAUCGCGGAUCAGCAUGCCGCCGGUGAAUACGUUCCCGGGCCUUGUACACACCGCCCGUCACACCAUGAGAGUCGGGAACACCCGAAGUCCGUAGCCUAACAGCAGUGGGGGCGCGGCCGAAGGUGGGUUCGAUAAUUGGGGUGAAGUCGUAACAAGGUAGC